GUAGGCUAGUACAAGUGACUUUCAGAGAGCGGUAAUUAACCCUCUUACCUUUCCAACAAAAAAGCAAGGCGUGCGUCACUGCUCAGGAUUUUCUCCGACAUCAACACUUUGCACCGUCAGUAUACCGUACAGGAAGGAAACAGAAGCGAGGGAAUCCUCUGCACGUAUACGGCUGCCCUGGGUUUGGGUGCUCAGGACCCUGCAGACAAAGAGUGCAUUAAGAUGAUGAGUGCUUAGUGCGGCCUGAGGCAAGGACAAAACCAUUUCCACACAAAGGAAGGAGUCAGCUAUGCCCCUAACAAGCGCAGUCUGCUGGAUGAAAACAUUUAGCUGGUUCCUAUGGAUCUCUAGCACUUCAUUCAGUUUAUUUAUUUAGCCUACCUCUUCUGAAGAGGUUAUUGUUAAGAAUAUACUUAAAUCAUGGUGCAAAUAAAUAUAAAACAGUACAGAGCACAUCAUCAGCUUGCCAAGACAGACCUGUAUUCCGGGCGGGAUGUUGUAAAUGAUUUGUAUAGUGCCGCAGUCUGGGUGUCCAGGCAAAGACUGAGGGAUACUGUAAAUCUCCAUCUUGCCCUUGGGUUGGGUGCCGGUCUUCUCUCCGUAGAUCAUCUUACAUGAGGGGCACUGAAGACUCCCAUCCUGUGGUGUAACAAAAGUGGGAGAAAAUAAAAGGAAUGGUUUACAUGAAAA